rnacentral:lncRNA from 1 species
UCCCCGGAAACCUCGCAGCUGGGCUCUGCAACACAGAACCGUCUGUCACUGCCUAGGGCCACCUGACGACCGGAAAUGCUUGCUUACCGGGUAGACCUGCCAGAGAAUGUAAAACAUCUUUUAUUGCUUGGGUUAUUCUAUUUCUAUCAGAUCAUGUAGCUGACAGUCCAUCAUUUCUGUGCAAAUUUGUCUGGUUGGAUUUUUAGAUUCCAUUGUAGAGUCUUCUAUUAAUCCCCACGCGUUCCUGUUUCUUGGAUCUGACAUGUCAUUCCAGUCAGGCAGUGGGAUCUUUUGGAAUUUUGAUGUCACGUGUUUGUAGCCCCCUUUAGCUUCGCACUCUCCACA